rnacentral:rRNA from 1 species
UACGUAGGGGGCAAGCGUUAUCCGGAUUCACUGGGUGUAAAGGGGGCGCAGACGGCGAUGCAAGCCAGGAGUGAAAGCCCGGGGCCCAACCCCGGGACUGCUCUUGGAACUGCGUGGCUGGAGUGCAGGAGGGGCAGGCGGAAUUCCUGGUGUAGCGGUGAAAUGCGUAGAUAUUAGGAGGAACACCAGUGGCGAAGGCGGCCUGCUGGACGAUGACUGACGUUGAGGCUCGAAAGCGUGGGGAGCAAACAGG